rnacentral:tRNA from 1 species
GCCCCUGUAGCUCAGUCGGUAGAGCACUUCCUUGGUAAGGAAGAGGUCGGCGGUUCGAAUCCGCUCGGGGGCUCCA